rnacentral:rRNA from 1 species
AGGAGCAGCAGCGCGCNAAUUACCCACUCCCGGCACGGGGAGGUAGUGACGAAAAAUAACGAUACGGGACUCAUCCGAGGCCCCGUAAUCGGAAUGAGUACACUUUAAACCCUUUAACGAGUAUCCAUUGGAGGGCAAGUCUGGUGCCAGCAGCCGCGGUAAUUCCAGCUCCAAUAGCGUAUAUUAAAGUUGUUGCGGUUAAAAAGCUCGUAGUUGGACUUGUGUCCCACGCUGUCGGUUCACCGUUCGUCGGUGUUUAACUGGCAUGCCCGUGCGGACGUCCUGCCGGUGGAUGCGGUCGGCCGUGGGCCUCUGGUCUGCGCGUCGGCGGUCCGAUGCAAUCCUACCGCGGUGCUCUUCACCGAGUGUCGAGGUGGGCCGGCACGUUUACUUUGAACAAAUUAGAGUGCUCAAAGCAGGCAGUGGUUCGCCUGAAUAUUGUGUGCAUGGAAUAAUGGAAUAGGACCUCGGUUCUAUUUUGUUGGUUUGCGGAACUUGAGGUAAUGAUUAAUAGGGACAGACGGGGGCAUUCGUAUUGCGACGUUAGAGGUGAAAUUCUUGGAUCGUCGCAAGACGAACCUAAGCGAAAGCAUUUGCCAUGAGUGUUUUCAUUAAUCAAGAACGAAAGUUAGAGGUUCGAAGGCGAUCAGAUACCGCCCUAGUUCUAACCAUAAACGAUGCCAGCUAGCGAUCCGCCGAAGUUCCUCCGAUGACUCGGCGGGCAGCUUCCGGGAAACCAAAGCUUUUGGGUUCCGGGGGAAGUAUGGUUGCAAAGCUGAAACUUAAAGGAAUUGACGGAAGGGCACCACCAGGAGUGGAGCCUGCGGCUUAAUUUGACUCAACACGGGAAACCUCACCAGGCCCGGACACCGGAAGGAUUGACAGAUUGAGAGCUCUUUCUUGAUUCGGUGGGUGGUGGUGCAUGGCCGUUCUUAGUUGGUGGAGCGAUUUGUCUGGUU